rnacentral:rRNA from 1 species
CCUACGGGAGGCAGCAGUGAGGAAUAUUGGUCAAUGGACGAGAGUCUGAACCAGCCAAGUAGCGUGAAGGAUGACUGCCCUAUGGGUUGUAAACUUCUUUUAUAUGGGAAUAAAACGUUCCACGUGUGGGAUUUUGUAUGUAACAUAUGAAUAAGGAUCGGCUAACUCCGUGCCAGCAGCCGCGGUAAUACGGAGGAUCCGAGCGUUAUCCGGAUUUAUUGGGUUUAAAGGGAGCGUAGGUGGAUUGUUAAGUCAGUUGUGAAAGUUUGCGGCUCAACCGUAAAAUUGCAGUUGAAACUGGCAGUCUUGAGUACAGUAGAGGUGGGCGGAAUUCGUGGUGUAGCGGUGAAAUGCUUAGAUAUCACGAAGAACUCCGAUUGCGAAGGCAGUUCACUGGACUGCAACUGACACUGAGGCUCGAAAGUGUGGGUAUCAAACAGGAUUAGAUACCCGUGUAGUC